rnacentral:tRNA from 1 species
CUCCAAAUAGCUCAAAUGGAUAGAGCGGUCGUCUCCUACACGACAGGCUGAAGGUUCGAGUCCUUCUUUGGAGG